AUGGCCGGAAGGAAGGGCGGCGACAGGAAGAAGGCGGUGACCCGCUCCGUGAAGGCCGGGCUCCAGUUCCCGGUCGGCCGCAUCGGGCGCUACCUCAAGAAGGGCCGCUACGCCCAGCGCGUCGGCUCCGGCGCCCCCGUCUACCUCGCCGCCGUCCUCGAGUACCUCGCCGCCGAGGUCCUGGAGCUUGCCGGCAACGCGGCCAAGGACAACAAGAAGACCCGCAUCAUCCCGCGCCACCUGCUGCUCGCCGUCCGCAACGACCAGGAGCUCGGCAGGCUGCUUGCCGGCGUCACCAUCGCCCACGGCGGCGUCAUCCCCAACAUCAACUCCCGUGCUGCUGCCCAAGAAGUCCCCCGCCGCGGCCGAGAAGGAGGCCAAGUCGCCCAAGAAGAAGACCUCCACCAAGUCCCCCAAGAAGAAGGUCGCCGCCAAGGAGUAGAAUUCCCCAUAGCAUAG
rnacentral:rRNA from 1 species